AACGAACGCUGGCGGCGGGCUUAACACAUGCAAGUCGAGCGCCCCGCAAGGGGAGCGGCAGACGGGUGAGUAACGCGUGGGAAUCUACCCAUCUCUACGGAAUAACGCAUGGAAACGUGUGCUAAUACCGUAUACGUCCUUCGGGAGAAAGAUUUAUCGGAGAUGGAUGAGCCCGCGUUGGAUUAGCUAGUUGGUGGGGUAAAGGCCUACCAAGGCGACGAUCCAUAGCUGGUCUGAGAGGAUGAUCAGCCACACUGGGACUGAGACACGGCCCAGACUCCUACGGGAGGCAGCAGUGGGGAAUAUUGGACAAUGGGCGCAAGCCUGAUCCAGCCAUGCCGCGUGAGUGAUGAAGGCCCUAGGGUUGUAGAGCUCUUUCACCGGUGAAGAUAAUGACGGUAACCGGAGAAGAAGCCCCGGCUAACUUCGUGCCAGCCGCCGCCGUAAGAC
rnacentral:rRNA from 1 species